CUUUAAGCAUAUCAAUAAGCGGAGGAAAAAGAAACCAACCAGGGAUUGCCUCAGUAACGGCCGAGUGAAGCGGCAAGAGCUCAAAUUUGAAAGCUGGCCCCUUCGGGGUCCGCGUUGUAAUUUGCAGAGGAUGCUUCGGGUGCAGCCCCCGUCUAAGUGCCCUGGAACGGGCCGUCAUAGAGGGUGAGAAUCCCGUCUGGGACGGGGUGUCUGCGUCCGUGUGAAGCUCCUUCGACGAGUCGAGUUGUUUGGGAAUGCAGCUCUAAAUGGGUGGUAAAUUUCAUCUAAAGCUAAAUACUGGCCGGAGACCGAUAGCGCACAAGUAGAGUGAUCGAAAGAUGAAAAGCACUUUGAAAAGAGAGUUAAACAGCACGUGAAAUUGUUGAAAGGGAAGCGUUUGCGACCAGACUCGCCCGCGGGGUUCAGCCGGCAUUCGUGCCGGUGUACUUCCCCGUGGGCGGGCCAGCGUCGGUUUGGGCGGCCGGUCAAAGGCCCUCGGAAUGUAUCACCUCUCGGGGUGUCUUAUAGCCGAGGGUGCAAUGCGGCCUGCCUGGACCGAGGAACGCGCUUCGGCUCGGACGCUGGCGUAAUGGUCGUAAAUGACCCGUCUUGAAACACGGACCAAGGAGUCUAACAUCUACGCGAGUGUUCGGGUGUCAAACCCGUACGCGCAGUGAAAGCGAACGGAGGUGGGAGCCCCCUCGCGGGGCGCACCAUCGACCGAUCCUGAUGUCUUCGGAUGGAUUUGAGUACGAGCGUAGCUGUGGGGACCCGAAAGAUGGUGAACUAUGCCUGAAUAGGGCGAAGCCAGAGGAAACUCUGGUGGAGGCUCGCAGCGGUUCUGACGUGCAAAUCGAUCGUCAAAUUUGGGUAUAGGGGCGAAAGACUAAUCGAACCCUCUAGUAGCUGGGUUCCUGCCGAAG
rnacentral:rRNA from 1 species